AUUUAAAUAGCUUAAAAAGAGCGCAAUAUUGAAGAUAUUGAGGUAACUUUGGUUUUUAAAUA
rnacentral:tRNA from 1 species